rnacentral:rRNA from 1 species
AUUGAACGCUGGCGGCAUGCCUUACACAUGCAAGUCGAACGGUAACGGGCCUUCGGGUGCCGACGAGUGGCGAACGGGUGAGUAAUGUAUCGGAACGUACCUUUCAGUGGGGGAUAACGUAGCGAAAGUUACGCUAAUACCGCAUAUUCUGUGAGCAGGAAAGCAGGGGAUCGCAAGACCUUGCGCUGAUUGAGCGGCCGAUAUCAGACUAGCUAGUUGGUGAGGUAAAGGCUCACCAAGGCGACGAUCUGUAGCGGGUCUGAGAGGAUGAUCCGCCACGCUGGAACUGAGACACGGUCCAGACUCCUACGGGAGGCAGCAGUGGGGAAUUUUGGACAAUGGGGGCAACCCUGAUCCAGCCAUGCCGCGUGAGUGAAGAAGGCCUUCGGGUUGUAAAGCUCUUUCGGCCGGGAAGAAAUCGUAUCAGCUAAUACCUGGUGCGGAUGACGGUACCGGCAUAAGAAGCACCGGCUAACUACGUGCCAGCCGCCGCAGUAAGAC